AUCACUGUGACUUACAACCCUUCUCUAGUCUGCUACAAUGGAAUCUUAAACAAGAAAAUUUUAUAUUUUGACUUGCAUCAUUGAGAAAAACACUGCCAACCUGAUCGUGGUUCCUUUGAAGAAUCACUGCAGCAGGUGCGAGAGAGGACUCAUGGAGCUUGCAGAUGAGCUAGCCCAGAUGCAAUUCCAGGAAUGCCAGGAAGCAAACCAAUUCCACCCCAAGAUACAAACAAAGAACAGCACCCUCUCAAAUGAUGCUGCAUGAUAAGUGGCCACAGAGAGCACCGCUGUAAUCAGUCAGAAAGGCAGGUGAGCUAUUAGCUUACCCAGGAAUGUCCUACCUAAUGUAGAAUCAAUGGUGAUGGUUAACAGACCCUGGCUAUGGUGACAGGCCUGGGACCUGAUUGAGGAAAUCCAAAUGAAAAACAGCCAAGAGGAACAACAAGCUAGAAAAAGAUGUUCCAGGCCGGGUGCAGUGGCUCACGCCUGUAAUCCCAACACUUUGGGAGGCCAAGGCAGGCAGAUUGCUUGAGCUCAGGAGUUCAAGACCAGCCUGGGCAACAUGGUGAAACCCUGUCUCUACAAAAAAUACAAAAAUUAGCCGGACAUGGUGGCAUCCUAGCUGCUAGGGAAGUUGAGAUGGAAGGAUGGCCCAGGAGGUGGCGGUUACAGUAUGCCGAGAUUGCACCCCACUGCACUCCUGCUUGGGCAACAGAGUUAGACCCUAUGUACAAAAAAAAAAAAAAAAAAAAAGAACGAAAGAAAAAAAAAGAAAAGAAACAUGUUCUAGCUAAGAGGAGGUGCAUGCAUUUCACCUGAAUAUGUAGUUGGGAUGGGAUGAGAGCAUUCAUUUCUAAAUAUGUAAAUUUUACCUCUUCCUCCAUAUAGAUAUUGUUAAGUUCAAUUGUAGCCAUCCACAUUAGUUUUGUCAAAUUUUCAGCAAUUUCUUAAAAAUAAGAUUUCAAAAUGAUAACAGAUAUUAAGGGAAUUCAGGGCAUUUGACUUAUCUACCCAGUUUUCCUAAAACAUUCCAGUUAAAUAAUCUGUUCUUCAACUUCAGUCUCAUAGCAAUUAAAAAGUAUCUUAAAAAUUGCCCACUCCUCAAAAGAAAUACAUUUCAUAAGGCUGUAGUUGACAUAGAUAGUGAUUCCUUGGAUGGAUAUGGGCAAAGUAAAUUGAAAGCCUUCUGGAAAGGAUUUGCCAUUCUAGAUGCCAUUAAGAACAUUUGCAAAUCAUAGGAGGAGGUCAAAAUGACAACAUUAAUGGGAGUUUGGAAGAAAUUGAGUCCAACCCUCACGGAUAAAUUUGAGUGGUUCAAGACUUCAGUGGAGGAAGUAACUGCAGAUGUGGUACAAAUAGCAAGAGAAUCAGAAUUAGAACUGGAGCCCGAAGAUGUGACUGAAUUGCUGCAAUCUUAUGAUCAAACUUGGAUGGAUGAGGAGUUGCUUCUUAUGGAUGAGCAAAGAGUUUUUUUUUUUUUUUGAGAUAGAAUCCACACCUGGUGAAGAUGGCGUGAACAUUGUUGAAAUGACAACAAAGGAUUUCAAAUAUUACAUAAACUUAGUUGAUAAAGUAGAGCAGGAUUUGAGAGAACUGACUUCAAUUUUGAAGGAAGUUCUACUGUGGGUAAAAUGCUAUCAAACAGCAUCGUAUGCUACAGAGAAAUCUUUUGUGAAUCGAAGAGUCAAUUGAUGCAGAAAACUUUGUUGUCUUCUUUUUUUUUGAGAGACAGGGGUCUCUCUGUGUUGCCCAGGCCAGAGUGCAGUGGCUUUCACGUAUGCUAUCAUAGUGCACUACAGCCUCCACCUCCUGUGCUUGUGUUAUCCUCCUGCCUCAGCCUCCUGAGCAGAUGGGACUCUACAGGCCUGCGUCACCAUGCCCAACUACAUUGCUUUCUUAUUUUAAGAAAUUGCCAUGGCCACACUAACCUUUGGGAACCACCACCCUGAUUAGUCAG
rnacentral:lncRNA from 1 species